GCAUAUCAAUAAGCGGAGGAAAAGAAACUAACCAGGAUUCCCCUAGUAACGGCGAGUGAACAGGGAUUAGCCCAGCACCGAAGCCUGCGUCCGUUUGGGCGUUGGGCAAUGUGGUGUUUAGGUUAGUGCUCUCAAGUGCUGUUCCAUUCCAAGUCCAAUAUUGAAUAUGGCUUUAAAUUGGCCCAUAGAGGGUGAAAGGCCCGUAGCGGACGGAGUGGCUCUUGACUGUGCUGACUGUGGAGUCGGGUUGUUUGAGAAUGCAGCCCAAAGUUGGUGGUAAACUCCAUCUAAGGCUAAAUACUGGCACGAGUCCGAUAGCGAACAAGUACCGUAAGGGGAAA
rnacentral:rRNA from 1 species